UUAGCUGUUUGUAUUUACUGAUGGUGAAGUUGGAAACACAAUUCAAGUCAUUGACGAAGUGAAGAAAAAUUCCUCCUCACACAGAUGCUUCACAUUUGGAAUUGGAGAAGGCGCCUCUACAGCCCUUAUUAAAGGAAUGGCCAAGGCAGGGACUGGUCACUUUCAAUUUGUCUCUGGAAAAGACAGAAUGCAACUAAAAGUAAUGCAGAGCCUGCGGUUCGCUUUGCAGCCUGCAGUCACCAAUAUUAGCCUGAAUUGGCACCCCAGGUGGA